ensembl:rRNA 5S_rRNA 5S ribosomal RNA
GGUAGUAGCCAUAUCACCCUGCAACUCACAACUGGCAACCCACUGAAGCUAAGCAGGUGUGAGCCUGGCCAGUACCUGGAUGGGAGACCUCCUGGGAAAAACUAAGGUUGCUGCUGGAA